ensembl:lncRNA
UCCCUUUGUUCCAAAGUGGUUUUACAAAAUAUAGUGCCUUAAAACUCCCUUAAACGGUUGGUUUGGGUGGAUAAAGAAGAAACUUUGGGAGUAACCAAAACUCAGCAGAGAGAGCCAAUCCUUCUGUGGAACAUUUGUGGAACAUCAAUAAUGGUGGGAUGAACCAAAAGCACAGGUGCAGCUGCAGGUGGAGGAGAUUCAAACAUAUAUAAGUCUGAUGGGUCACACACAGAAGACAGUGAAGACUGAGGAACAUUUGAAGACUCUCAUUCAUCGGUAUCUCCAACAAUAGAAUGAUUUCAGAGCAGAGAGAGAUGAAGAGUGUUCUCUCAGUGAAGAUGUUGGCUGUGUUGCCUCUGGUUCUGUUGGUGUCCAGUGUGACUGAGGGACGGAUUAUGAGUAAAUGUGAGCUGAAGGCCAAGCUGGAGGCUGCACGAUUUCAAGACUUUAAGGUCAUGGGAGAAAAAUUGAGCACAAAAGAUCUUGUAGCUAGACUUGUCUGCAAGGCUAAAGCCUCUGGCUUCAACACCAACUUCAUGAAAACCAUCAGCAACUACUAUGAAGAGAACAAUCCCGAUGACGCCCCACCUCAGUCAUCCACCUCCACCUUAAGGCCUACUUCAAGGGCCACCAGCUCCACCUCAAGUACCACCUCAAAGUCUACAUCAAGUCCCACAAUAAGACCCACCACAUUUUCCACUUCAAAACCCACCACAGGCUCCACCACAAGACCAACCACAGGCUCCACCACAGGCUCCACCACAAGACCAACCACAGGCUCCACCACAAGACCAACCACAGGCUCUACCACAGGCUCCACCACAAGCCCAACCACAGGCUCCACCACAAGACCAACCACAGGCUCCACCACAAGACCAACCACAGGCUCCACCACAAGACCAACCUCAGGCUCCACCACAAGCUCCACUUCAACCCCUACCACAGGCUCCACCUCAAGCUCCACCACAAGCUCCACUUCAACACCCACCACAGGCUCCACCUCAAGCUCUACUUCAAGCUCCACUUCAACCCCUACCACAGACUCCACCACAGGCUUCACCUCUAGCUCCACCACAAGCUCCACUUCAUCCCCCACCACAGACUUCACCUCAAGCUCCACCACAAGCUCCACUUCAACCCCCACCACAGACUUCACCUCAAGCUCCACCACAAGCUCCACUUUAACCCCUACCACAGGCUCCACCUCAAGCUCCACUUCAACCCCCACAACAGACUCCACCACAGGCUCCACCUCAAGCUCUAUGACAAGCUCCACUUCAACCCCCACCACAGACUCCACCACAGGCUCCACCUCAAGCUCUACCACAAGUCCAACCACAAGACCCACCAAAGUCUCCACCUCAAGCUCUACCACAAGUCCAGCCAAAAGACCUGUCACAGGGCACCCUACAGUCUCUCCUUCAAGACCUACCCCAAGAAAUGCCUCGAACAGAGGCCGGCGUCACAUUCCUUUUUUUAACAAACCCAACGGUCCUAUCUUUAGGGAGAAGGAGCCAAAGUGGCCCUUAGUCGAACGCCUGUAUGGACUGUUUCAGCUCAGUGAUCAGUGGGCCUGUAAUUCUGACAAGGUGCCAUCUCUCAAUAUUUGCAACAUGAAAUGCACUGGUAAGCCUGCUGAGAAACAUGCUAAACAUUACAAAUAAGAUAAACCUGAAUGUUUUUACUAUUGAAUGUUUAACUAUGAACCAAAGAAAGCCAAUUUAAUCUGAUCUUUUAACUUUUUUUAACCAAAGCUUUAAAUGGUGAUGAUGCCACAAAUGACAUUGCUUGCCUGAAGACCCUGAUGAACAGCAUGUAAGUACACAUGAGCUCAAACAAACACCCUAAAACAACAUCUACAUAACCCCAUGCUUCUUAUUUUAACUGUGAAGAGUGUUUUAAAUAUAAAUUCAAAACAAAAAAUAAUUUUAUUCAAUAUUUUAACAAACAAAUGUGUUUACAACUCAAUAAACAGUUAGAAAAUGAAAGAAAUUGAAUCUGAAAAAUAUAUAUAUUUUUUUUUAUCCAGUAAUUACAUUUAUGACUCUGUCUUCUUUUGUAACAGGCCACCUAAACCUCUUGUGAACCCCUCUGAUUUGAAGAAGAUGUAAGUUGAAAAUAUUUUUAUGACAUCAUAAUUUUGCUAAUCAUGUCAAUACACGCUAAAUAUAAUAAAAUACAUAAAAUAUAAAUGAAAAUAAGUACAUAUUAUAGUGCAUUUUAUGGAAUGAAUAGCAUUUUGGAGGUUGUUUUGCUUAUUUAGAAAGCUGUUUGUUAAUGUUGUCAAUUAAUUACAAUCAAAAACAGCUUAUUUUAGCCAUGCCUAACAACUGUGUUAUACCAAUUUUCAAUGAUUUCCAUGGCUCUACACACCUGAAGUAUAAAAGGUCUUUUUUCCUAUUUGAGUGCAACAAUUAGCAUAGCUAUUUAAAGAUUUUAAAUAUUAGCAAAGUAACCAUAGCACUUGCUAUGGCAAAUUCCAUUUUCAACAUGUUGUGACAUGGUGAAAUAAUAAGGUGCUUGAACUGACAAAGUCAACUAGUACAUUGUGAUAAUUGGUGUUUCUCGGCAUGUGACAAACACAGAGUGAUUAAUUAUUAUAUGUCAGACAUUAUAGGCUUAAAAAAAUCUAAUCUGAAGGUUCAAAGUGUGACUGUUUUCUGUGUGUUACAGCUUGGGGACCUUGUUGGUGGAUGAGUGCCGCUCUGUUGUUCACUCAGAGUACUUUGCUGAGUGUUUUUAGAGGAAUACCCCUAUGAUUGAAUGGUAAUGGGGUCAUUGGUUGUGGAACCCGUGUGGCUCUUAACUAAGGGUGUUUGUCCAUUAAGGCACUUUAUGUUAUUGCUUUGUUAUUGCUGUGAUAUUGUAAAAUUGUUAUUUAUGUACACAUUUACAUUUUUGUCUAAACUUAAAAUUUAACAUUUGGUUCCUUGUGUCAGACUGUGCUUUUCAUUAAAAUAAUAUAAAAAAAUACAGAAGUGCUCAAAAUGCACUUUCUUUCUGCAUAUUUUUUUUUCUUCAGGAUAAUAUAUUACCAUUUGUACCCAGAAAAAAUAUAUAUAUAUUUUAAGGUCAGGAAACAGCCUAGUUUGAAGAUCAUUUAGGAAUUUUAAAUGAUUCAUUUCAAAUCCGACUUGUGC